rnacentral:rRNA from 1 species
AUUGAACGCUGGCGGAAUGCUUUACACAUGCAAGUCGAGCGGCAGCGCGGGGCAACCUGGCGGCGAGCGGCGAACGGGUGAGUAAUACAUCGGAACGUGCCCAGACGUGGGGGAUAACUACUCGAAAGAGUAGCUAAUACCGCAUACGAUCUAAGGAUGAAAGCGGGGGAUCGCAAGACCUCGCGCGUUUGGAGCGGCCGAUGGCAGAUUAGGUAGUUGGUGGGGUAAAGGCUUACCAAGCCUGCGAUCUGUAGCUGGUCUGAGAGGACGACCAGCCACACUGGGACUGAGACACGGCCCAGACUCCUACGGGAGGCAGCAGUGGGGAAUUUUGGACAAUGGGCGAAAGCCUGAUCCAGCCAUUCCGCGUGCAGGAUGAAGGCCCUCGGGUUGUAAACUGCUUUGUACAGAACGAAAAAGCUCUGGUUAAUACCUGGAGUCCAUGACGGUACUGUAAGAAUAAGCACCGGCUAACUACGUGCCAGCAGCCGCGGUAAUACGUA